rnacentral:misc_RNA from 1 species
AUGCGAUAAGUAAUGUGAAUUGCAGAAUUCAGUGAAUCAUCGAAUCUUUGAACGCACAUUGCGCCCUCUGGUAUUCCGGGGGGCAUGCCUGUUCGAGCGUCAUUAUAACCACUCAAGCUCUCGCUUGGUAUUGGGGUUCGCGGUUUCGCGGCUCCUAAAAUCAGUGGCGGUGCCUGUCGGCUCUACGCGUAGUAAUACUCCUCGCGUCUGGGUCCGGUAGGUCUACUUGCCAGCAACCCCCAAUUUUUACAGGUUGACCUCGGAUCAGGUAGGGAUACCCGCUGAACUUAA